rnacentral:misc_RNA from 1 species
GAACACUUCUGUGUAGCCAAAACUAAAUUGACAAGUAAAUCACACAAGUUUCAGGCUUGAGACAGGUCACGACUACCUCGAGUAUUUUCUCAAACAAAAACUACAUCCACAACCUUCACAAGCUUCGGAAUACAACAAAUACUUCCCAAAGUUACAACAUAAAAUUGUGCAAGGCAUUGUAAAAUACUAUAGCUCCUAUAUAAAAAUGACAUACAAGAACUCCCAGUCUCAAGUCUCUAUAGCUUGUCUAAGUGAUUUAUGCUGCAACAGUCUUUGGCUUCGCGCCAAUUUUUUUCCAGGAAACACUAGGCAUUAUCUGCUUUGUGUCGACACGAUCCUUAUAUUGAACAGCAAAGUUCAAUAGAGAGUCGAGAAGAGAAUCAGAAAGAAGGUGAGGUUGUAGUCCCAGCUCAAUAAGUUUAGUAUGUUUGGCAUUGUAGUAGUGUUCCUCUGCUUCUACUCUUGGAUUGGGCACUGAUAUGGCCUUCACCUCAAGGCCAAGUUUUUGCCCUGCCUUGGUGACAAGGGCUGCAAGCUCAUUUACUGAAAACUGCUCUGUGAAUUGGUUGAAAACCCGGAACUCUCCUGGUUUUGCUGGAUUGGCAAUUGCAAUUUCAACACAUUGAACUGUAUCUCUGAUAUCCAAAUAUCCCCUGGUCUGCCCUCCUUUACCAUACACCGUUAGUGGAUGUCCAACAGCAGCCUGAACACAGAAACGAUUUAGUGCAGUUCCAAAUAUCCCCUGGUCUGCCCUCCUUUACCAUACACCGUUAGUGGAUGUCCAACAGCAGCCUGAACACAGAAACGAUUUAGUGCAGUUCCAAAUACACCAUCAUAAUCAAGUCUGUUAACCAGAUCCUCAUGUAUUGCAGUUUCAUCAGUCCUCACCCCAUAUACAACUCCCUGAUUCAGGUCGGUAGCUCUGAUUCCCCACGCCUUGCAAGUGAAGGCUAUGUUGUGGGAAUCAUGGACUUUACUCAAAUGAUAGAAGGAGCUUGCUUGUUUGGGAUAAGGAAGAGUAUCUGUUCUUCCGUUAUGAGUAAUAGUUAUAUAACCUUCUUCAAUAUCUAUAUUAGGGGUUCCAUAUUCCCCCAUGGUCCCGAGUUUGACCAAAUGACACUCUUCCCUAAACUCCUUUAUGGCAAAUAGUACAUUAAGUGUCCCUAUCACAUUAUUAUGUUGGGUAUAAAUAGCUCUUGACCUAUCAAUCAUAGAAUAAGGGGCAGACCUCUGCUCUCCAAAAUGGACUACAGCAUCAGGUUCAAAGGAUUUGAAGGCUUCUGCCAAGAACUCAAACUCACAUAUAUCACCAACAAACAGUUGAAUAUCUUUUCCUGUGAGAGAUUUCCAACGCCUUAUGCGGUUAUGAAUAGAUGAGAUGGGUGUUAGAGAAUCUAGACCAAGCUGGUCGUCAAAUAAUCGACGGAUAAGGUUGUCAACAAUGGCAACUUCAUAUCCCUUGUUGGAUAGGUGGAGAGCAGUAGCCCAGCCACAAUAGCCAUCACCACCAAUGACCAUGACCUUCUUCCUAGUGGAUGCUCCAUCAGUGGUCUGUUGAGAACCAGAGUCAUUCUGUGUUCUGGCUUCUUGGCUCAUGGAAACAGCUGAAGCUCUGAUCACAUAUUUUGCAGACCUUUUGCUUUGCAAACUUAGCUUCAAGGGUGAGAAAGAAAUUCCCAUAUUAAAACAUGUUGGAUUAGGAGUAGAGCAUUGGUUAAUUGACUUGAAAUGCAGCUUUUUGCUGGAAGAGACAUCUAAAGAACAUGUAGUAGAAAGUAAAUGUGCCAUGAUAGCCGCCUCGAUAUGAGCCUACCAAUUUUCUUAAACCUGGUGAUGCUUGUUAGACAUAAAAUCCUUACAAGAGAGUGAGAAAG